rnacentral:lncRNA from 1 species
GGCAACAACAGAGGUAUUGAACAUUGGGAAAAAAGUGUAUGAGGGUAAAACAACACAUGUCUAUGAAUUAUAGAUAGUCCAGGACAAGUCCUCCUACAGUCCAAGGACCAGAUUAUAGCUGGAAAUGCAGAAGGAUGAUGCCAAUAAUGACCCACGGUGGCCUGAAGAAUAGCUAAUUGUUGCAAAAUUUUGCUUCUUUGGAUUUGCUAUAGGCCAUACAGAAGUGGAUAUCAUGAAUCAUGCUACACAGGCUAUUUUUUAAAUACUGGAGAAAUCCUGGUUGCCCCAGAACUCUACACUGGUUGGAAUGAAGACUACAUUUGGUGUUGAUGUAACCAUCCAGUAAAUUGUUCUUGCUGGUAUUAUUGAUAAUGAUUUUUGGGGACUCUGGCCAUCAGGGGAUUGAAGCCAACAGAAAGACAAACUGUUGUAUUGCAUCCUCAAAGAAGUAAAUUUUCAAGGGCUCCAAAUGGUAAAAAAAAAAAAAAUUUGAGUGGGUUGCAGAGAGAAUUGUCACUUUAAAAAAAUCAGAAGGCCUAUGGAAAUUUUGGAAUUCCAUGUGAACUUUGAGCAACAUCCGCACAUAAUGGACGAGAUGAAACUCUGAAGAGUAAAGCUGAAUAUAAAGGGAAUAGCAUUUGUACUGUAUUUGUGGCAGUGGCAAGUGGAAAAAAUGGUUUGGGACCAGUAAUGUAUGGCAGCUCUACAUAUCCAGUCAUUAGCUGUGUUCUUCUUAAACUAGUCUGGAGAACUUAGGAUGUGUGAUCUUCUCUUCAACUACCCAGUGGUCCCAGUGGUCUUGCCUGUUAAACCAUAUUUUCUCCAGAAGGAUCAGCUCAUAUUGCUGCUCAGAUAUUUGGAAUAAAUAAGCAUUAGACAUGGGGAGAACUGCAAGGAAUCAUUUUGAACACAUGGAUUCUCUUGAAGCAGGCCCACAAGAAAAUUAGAGAAUGUAAUUUAUA